rnacentral:tRNA from 14 species
CCGCAGCUGAGGGGGAGUCGUGUCCCGGUGGUUCGACUCCCGCAGAC